CAGCAGUAGCCGCGGGAAUACGAAGGUCCCGAGCGUUGUCCGGAAUCACUGGGCGUAAAGGGAGCGUAGGCGGCGUGGUAAGUCAGAUGUGAAAUCCCGGGGCUCAACCCCGGAACUGCAUCCGAUACUGCCAUGCUAGAGGAUUGGAGAGGUAGCUGGAAUUCUUGGUGUAGCAGUGAAAUGCGUGGAGAUCAAGAGGAACACUCGUGGCGAAAGCGAGCUACUGGACAAUAACUGACGCUGAGGCUCGAAGGCCAGGGUAGCGAAAGGGAUUAGAUACCCGCGUAGUCCCUGUCUCUUAUAA
rnacentral:rRNA from 1 species